rnacentral:misc_RNA from 1 species
GAUGAAGAACGCAGCGAAAUGCGAUAAGUAAUGCGAAUUGCAGAAUCCGUGAGUCAUCGAAUCUUUGAACGCACAUUGCGCCCGCCAGUAUUCUGGCGGGCAUGCCUGUUCGAGCGUCAUUACAACCCUCAGGCCCCCGGGCCUGGCGUUGGGGAUCGGCGGAAGCCCCCUGUGGGCACACGCCGUCCCUCAAAUACAGUGGCGGUCCCGCCGCAGCUUCCAUUGCGUAGUAGCUAACACCUCGCAACUGGAGAGCGGCGCGGCCAUGCCGUAAAACACCCAACUUCUGAAUGUUGACCUCGAAUCAGGUAGGAAUACCCGCUGAACUUAAGCAUAUCAAUAAGCGGAGGA